GAUGAACGCUGGCGGCGUGCCUAAUACAUGCAAGUCGAGCGAACAGAUAAGGAGCUUGCUCCUUUGACGUUAGCGGCGGACGGGUGAGUAACACGUGGGUAACCUACCUAUAAGACUGGAAUAACUCCGGGAAACCGGGGCUAAUGCCGGAUAACAUUUAGAGCCGCAUGGUUCUAAAGUGAAAGAUGGUUUUGCUAUCACUUAUAGAUGGACCCGCGCCGUAUUAGCUAGUUGGUAAGGUAACGGCUUACCAAGGCAACGAUACGUAGCCGACCUGAGAGGGUGAUCGGCCACACUGGAACUGAGACACGGUCCAGACUCCUACGGGAGGCAGCAGUAGGGAAUCUUCCGCAAUGGGCGAAAGCCUGGCGGAGCAACGCCGCGUGAGUGAUGAAGGUCUUCGGAUCGUAAAACUCUGUUAUUAGGGAAGAACAAAUGUGUAAGUAACUGUGCACGUCUUGACGGUACCUAAUCAGAAAGCCACGGCUAACUACGUG
rnacentral:rRNA from 1 species